rnacentral:rRNA from 1 species
AUGCGAUAAGUAGUGUGAAUUGCAGAAUUCCGUGAAUCAUCGAAUCUUUGAACGCACAUUGCGCCUCCUGGUAUUCCGGGAGGCAUGCCUGUCCGAGCGUCAUCAAAAACCAUCAAGUUUGGAUUUAUUCAUCACUUGGUAUUGGAGCUGGAGUGCGCACAUGCCAUUCCUGUCCGAAAAUCAAUGGCAAUGUUGUCUGCACCAAUUAGCGUAGUAAUCAACAUUAUGUUUCGCUUUUGGACAGAAGAUGUUCUGCCGUUAACCCCCAAAUUCUAAGUUUUGACCUCGGAUCAGGUAGGGAUACCCGCUGAACUUAA